ACCUGAUAAGUCAAGAGAUUGGCAGGUGAGAGCUGCUUGAGGUGGGAGGUUCUAGGAGGUCUAUGAUAGGACCUGGCUGAAGGCAGGAGAACAGUAAGAGGGAGCUGCUUGCUGGUUCUCUGAGCUGGGGAUUAGCAGUGGAGGGCUGAAGGUAGAGCAGCAGUGGAGGGGCUUACUUGCUGACACCUCUGCUGGAGCCUGGGGAACAGUAAAAAGGCCUGGCUGUUGGCCCAUCUGGGACAUGAGAUGUUAACGGACAAAGGCGCCUUGGGGAUCCUUUUCUGUGAAUUCAGUGCUCAGGAAAAGCAUUGGACUGACAAGCCAUGCAGACUGAAAUCUUCAGAGCAGAAAAAGAAAAUCCUUGUAAAGGGGAACCUCUUGCUAUGAUGAAGAUGCUUUCUGAAAUAGAGCUGGCUCUGGUAUAAGACUACUGCUGCACUGCAAGCCAUGAUGAAUAUGUCAAAGCAUACACCACCUUCAUUUCUGGAAGAAGACAAAACGCAGCCUACCAGAGGAUGAGUUGCAGCCUUACUGGGGGAGCUAGUACAUUCUCAGUGCUUUGUGUUAAGACUUUCAUUUUUGCAGCGGUCGCACAUUGUGCUGCUCAGUCUAAGUAUUACCAAAAAGUCCAUUUUAACACCUUAGCAGAGACAUGAAAUAUGCCUUGUGCUUUGGGGCUAGGUUGGAAGGGGAGGGCUGCAUUUUGCACUUAGUGUUGUGUUCACAGAAAACUUGCCCUCAGACCAGUCCAGAAUUUUGUUACGAAACCCCACAAGGUCAUUCCCCACCCGCUGAGAAAAGCAUAUAUGAGCCUACUUGACAGAGUGGCAUUGGGGUUUGGUAUUCUAUGUAUAUUUUUUUUCCACAAUGAAAUUACCGUUCCUACGUAACUUAUAACUGUUGUACCAAAACAUCUAAUAUUGUAUCUGAAUAGCAAUACUGUAUCAAAUGUGUUAUCUGAGGGCACACCUACCUGUAAAAAUACUGUACCAAACAUUUAUCUCUAUGUGCCUAUAGAACAGUAUUAUACCAACUAUUUGUUUACUUAACCUGCAUAGCAAUAACUUACAAAAUAUUUACCAGUACUUGUACUUGUAUAGUUAUGCAUAUAGUCAGAUAACUACUUAUUGUUUUACUUAUUGUAAAAGCGGCAAAGAGUCCUGUGGCACCUUAUAGACAGACAUAUUGGAGGGUAAGCUUUCGUGGGUGAAUACCCACUUCAUCAGAUAUACGUCAUCUGACAAAGUGGGUAUUCACCCACGAAAGCUUACCCUCCAAUAUGUCAGUCUAUAAGGUGCCACAGGACUGCGCACUCAGAGGUGCACUUUAAUCAAUCAUAAGCAGUGAAAUAAUCAAACAGGGAAUGCUGCUUCUUUUAAUAAAGUGAAGCUUCUUGUUACAGACUCUGCAACAUCCUUUGUAAGAGCUUCUUAUUAACACCAGGUUAGGUAUCCAAAGUGUAGGAGACUGAACUAUUUUAAAGGGCUGAAAUCCCAUGAAUAAUUAGGUAGAGGUGAAACUCUAUUUAUACCCAUGUGCUCCCCAUCCCAGAAGGAAGCACAGGGCCCAUAGUAUUUACACUGUAGCUCCCAGGUUAGGGCUAUGCCACAGACAAACUUCAGUGGGACCACUCACCCAGUAUGGAUUGCUCCAUAGAUGUUAUCCAGUAGUGCUUUCCAAAGGAGACAACUUUGAUAUUGGUAAGCAAGGAAGCUCAGUCUUAAACAAACUUAGGUGGCAGUAAUCCAAGCACUUGCUCCCCUUAUUCCAUCACUAAAAUAAGAGAAGUUUAGUGUUAUCAUUGACCAAAAAAAUCCUACAUUUCCAAUCAGGUGCCAAAACAAACAAAUAAAAAGCAAACCUAUGCUUGACCAUUCCCCUUGUGGCACUCCAACAGAAAUGAUUGAUACAAUGAAGGUUUAGUGGUAAGAGAACCUGAAGAUAUCUAAAUGCCUUGUCCAUGGGGAGCGCUGUUGGCUGAAUUAUUCAUACAAAUGCAGCAUGAAUGAAGAAUCAGCACACGUCUUUCCUACAUUUGCUUUCCAAGCUAGAAUGUGAGCAAAUCACCAUAAAAUCAGUAGGCUGACUUGGCUGGCACUUUUUAUUAAAUGCAAAAAAAAAUCAGUUUUAUUGUGCCAAAUUAAAACCUGAUGCAGGCCCAGUGAAGUUGUUACACAAGAGAUGAUUUUUGGCCCAUUAUUCUAAUGAUUUAUCAGUCACUAGGUUGUGGAGGAGAAUAUCCUUGUAAGGAAAACAAGAAUGUAAUGAAACGUGAGGGGGGAAGAGCAAUAAGAAAGCUAUUAAGUGCUUCUUCAUCCUAAAUUCAUUGUAGAGAGAAUGGGGCAAGAUGAGACUUUCUUACUGUGGGGAGAAAUGGAGUGUGUGGGUGUGGUGGCUUUGUUUGUUUGUUUUAAAGGAAUCGGUCACAUUAAAAAGCUGCAUCUUGCACAUCAAGCUUUGAAGUACUCCCCAAGCUUUUCCUUUCCCUAUCUAUUCUCCUGUCAAAACUUUGAUGGCUUUAGCUUGCAAACCAGCAAGUUCAGAGAUUUGACUGUGCCUAAUAUAGUUUAAAAAAAAAAAAAAAACAAAACUGAGCAUGAAUUUCACUACAGCUGCAGCCUUCACUCAUCCCAUUUCUGAUCAAGUCCAGCUAUUCUAAGUGAAUGGGACUUCCCAAAGGAAAUGAACUGUAAAGUUUAAUGAGAAGGGUUUUCUCUGAUAGUCUGUUAUAAAUAGUGGAUUUCUAAUGGGCUUGAAAAGUCUUUUGUUGUUUUAUCCAAUGGGUGAAAGAAACCUUACAAUUAUUUAGGGAGUGGGAGAUGGACAGAUUUGAGUCUCCCUCAAACAUUUUAUAAUCAGAAUAUUUUAUGAAUCAACAACAAAUCUGUAACAAUGCAGGACAUUUUUGAACAGCUUAUUGUUUUGUGAAUAGACUUCUAUUUGCAUAUCAAGGCUAUUUUUUUAAAUGACAAUAAACCGGACUGGAUCAAUA